GAAGUAGGAUACUCUGGCAUAAGGUACCUGCACUGCAGGUGAAGUAGAAUACUGUUCUUUGAAGGCAGACUUGGAUUAAUUAUAAAUGUGUCUGCAAACUUUGUCAACCAUUAAGAUUUCUUUUAAAAGAAAUGUUAUUGAUAUGUUGAGAUAAAAUGGAAUUAUAUAAAAUGUUCUGUUAAUACCAGAGAAGGCAGAAAAAAAGAUGAAAAAAGAAACGAAGAACAAAUAUAAUGAAUAGAAAACAGUUACGAACAUGGUAAAUAAAUUUCCAUUAUACAUCUUUGGUUAAAGUAAAAUGUUUAGGACAUGUGCACACCAUUUCCUGUUUUGGCGGUCUUUUUCAUUACCAUCCAGCUCUCAGUUCCAAAAAGGUCAGACGUGAAGCACUUACAGAGUUUGUGGGACACAGAGCAAGAGUGCCCUCAGGGUGGGUUCUCUUUCUCCUUUGUGCAAUUGACUUGAAUUGGAACUCACAGAAUGUUAGACUGGAGGAAACCAUGGACCAAUUUUGGGAAAGAGUUUUUUCUGCCAGAAGGAGCCUAUGCUGACUGCUCUGCUCAUUUCUCUGCCCCAUAGAGCCCUCAGGAAAGAUGUCUCACUCAGAAUUUUCUGAUAAGCUAAUGCAAGUAACAAUGACGAUAAACCCUUGGGGAAAUAAUCACAUGAUUUAUAUCCUGGAAUUCCAUGACACCAUCAACUCAUGAGAAUAACAAGCAAGUUCUGGCUCCCUGCCUCCCCCACUGGAAUAGUCUAAUUUCCAGGGAUUCCAAGAAUGUCUGUCAAGCAAAAAAUAAGAUCUGCCUUUAUUUUCCACACUCAACAAAUGCCUUCAGAGAUCCAUCAAAUGUUCAUCAUUAUAAACUAUCAUCGUAGAUUGCAGCCCACUCCACAUUUCCCUGUAAAAUGGGAUGCCACUGCACUUCCUCGUCCCCUCACGACUCCACCGUGUUCAAGUGAAGUUUCUAGAUCUGUACUAUCUCAGAAGAAGGUCCUCCAGAACUUGGAUGACACAGAAGGAAAGUGCAUGGUGUGGCUUGGCAUCCAUUGUCUUUUCAGUGCAAGGUGAUUGCAUCCACAGAGCUCAGAGAAAAGAGAAUGUGAGUUUUGGCCCCUACUCACCAAAGGCACAAGGCUCAUAAACACAUUCCUCCACUCCUCCUCUUCUGACACAUGCCUUAUGUACCUUCUACUUUUCCCAUGUGCAUCAAGGUCUGAAACAACAUGGGGGUAGUGUGGGCUGGGCAGGUUGGGGAAACUCUGUGUCAUGAAUAUUUAUGUGCCCCUU
rnacentral:lncRNA from 1 species